rnacentral:rRNA from 1 species
UACAGAGGUCCCAAGCGUUGUUCGGAUUCACUGGGCGUAAAGGGUGUGUAGGUGGCGCGCUAAGUCGGGUGUGAAAUUUCGGAGCUUAACUCCGAAACUGCAUUCGAUACUGGCGUGCUUGAGGACUGGAGAGGAGACUGGAAUUCAUGGUGUAGCAGUGAAAUGCGUAGAGAUCAUGAGGAAGACCAGUGGCGAAGGCGGGUCUCUGGACAGUUCCUGACACUGAGACACGAAGGCCAGGGGAGCAAACGGG